GAUGAACGCUGGCGGCGUGCCUAACACAUGCAAGUCGAACGGAGUCCAGCCUUUAAGACCUUCGGGUCAAAGAGGGGAAGACUGAGUGGCGGACGGGUGAGUAACACGUGGGCAACCUGGCUCAUAGAGGGGGAUAACAGAGAGAAAUUUCUGCUAAUACCGCAUAAGCACACACUGCCGCAUGGCAGAGGGUGAAAAGAGAAUCGCUAUGAGAUGGACCCGCGUCUGAUUAGCCAGUUGGCAGGGUAAGAGCCUACCAAAGCGACGAUCAGUAGCCGAUCUGAGAGGAUGAACGGCCACAUUGGGACUGAGACACGGCCCAAACUCCUACGGGAGGCAGCAGUGGGGGAUAUUGCACAAUGGGGGGAACCCUGAUGCAGCGACGCCGCGUGAGUGAAGAAGUAUUUCGGUAUUUAAAGCUCUAUCAGCAGGGAAGAUAAUGACAGUACCUGAAUAAGAAGCCCCGGCUAACUACGUG
rnacentral:rRNA from 1 species